GAUGAAGAACGUAGCGAAAUGCGAUAAGUAAUGUGAAUUGCAGAAUUCAGUGAAUCAUCGAAUCUUUGAACGCACAUUGUGCCCAUUAGCAUUCUAGUGGGCAUGCCUGUUCGAGCGUCAUUUCAACCCUUAAGCCCUGUUGCUUAGCGUUGGGAGCCUACAGUACUGUAGCUCCCCAAAGUUAGUGGCGGAGUCGGUUUCACACUCUAGACGUAGUAAUUUUUUCUCGUCUGUAGUUGAGCCGGUCCCCUGCCGUAAAACACCCAAUUUAUCAAGGUUGACCUCGGAUCAGGUAGGAAUACCCGCUGAACUUAAGCAUAUCAAUAAGCGGAGGA
rnacentral:misc_RNA from 1 species